rnacentral:rRNA from 1 species
GAUGAACGCUAGCUACAGGCUUAACACAUGCAAGUCGAGGGGAAACGAUAUUGGAAGCUUGCUUCCGAUAGGCGUCGACCGGCGCACGGGUGAGUAACGCGUAUCCAACCUGCCCACCACUUGGGGAUAACCUUGCGAAAGUAAGACUAAUACCCAAUGAUAUCUCUAGAAGACAUCUGAAGGAGAUUAAAGAUUUAUCGGUGAUGGAUGGGGAUGCGUCUGAUUAGCUUGUUGGCGGGGUAACGGCCCACCAAGGCGACGAUCAGUAGGGGUUCUGAGAGGAAGGUCACCCACGUUGGAACUGAGACACGGUCCAAACUCCUACGGGAGGCAGCAGUGAGGAAUAUUGGUCAAUGGGCGAGAGCCUGAACCAGCCAAGUAGCGUGCAGGAUGACGGCCCUAUGGGUUGUAAACUGCUUUUAUAAGGGAAUAAAGUGAGCCUCGUGAGGCUUUUUGCAUGUACCUUAUGAAUAAGGACCGGCUAAUUCCGUGCCAGCCGCCGCUGUAA